UACGUAGGGGGCUAGCGUUGUCCGGAUUUAUUGGGCGUAAAGAGCGUGUAGGCGGCCAGGUAGGUCUGCUGUGAAAGUCCAGGGCUCAACCCUGGAAGGCCGGUGGAAACUGUCGGGCUAGAGUCCGGAAGAGGCGAGUGGAAUUCCUGGUGUAGCGGUGGAAUGCGCAGAUAUCAGGAGGAACACCAAUAGCGAAGGCAGCUCGCUGGGACGGUACUGACGCUAAGGCGCGAAAGCGUGGGGAGCGAACAGG
rnacentral:rRNA from 1 species